rnacentral:tRNA from 1 species
CAGAGUGUGGCCGAGUAGUCAGGCACUUCCCUUACACCGAAAUCACAUCCAUGCAAAUUGGAUCACUCUGA